UUUGCGACCAAAAUCAUGCCAC
rnacentral:miRNA from 1 species